AUUCACCUGCCUCAGCCUCCCGAAUAGUUGGGACUGCAGAGGAAAGGCCAUGUGAAGAUAAAGAAAAGGCUGCCAUCUCCAGGUCAGGAAGAGAGGUCUCACCAGAAACCAACUUGGACUUCUAGCAUCUAGAACUAUGUUUAUUGUAAGGAUUAAAUCAGCUAAACCAAGAAAAGCCUCAGGGAUGGUGCCUGGCAAACUGCACGCUGUUAAUACAUGUUAGUGGACCCUUCUCCACACCUUCCUGCUACACUAAAGCAGAGAGAAUUACCUCCUGAAU
rnacentral:lncRNA from 1 species